rnacentral:rRNA from 1 species
AUACGGAGGAUCCAAGCGUUAUCCGGAAUCAUUGGGUUUAAAGGGUCCGUAGGCGGGUUUAUAAGUCAGUGGUGAAAGUUUGCGGCUCAACCGUAAAAUUGCCAUUGAUACUGUAGAUCUUGAAUUAGUGUGAAGUGAUUAGAAUAAGUAGUGUAGCGGUGAAAUGCAUAGAUAUUACGUAGAAUACCAAUUGCGAAGGCAGGUCACUAACACUAUAUUGACGCUGAGGGACGAAAGCGUGGGGAGCGAACAGGAUUAGAAACCAUAGUAGUCC